rnacentral:rRNA from 1 species
CAACGAAUAUUCCGCAAUGGGCGAAAGCCUGACGGAGCGACGCCGCGUGAAGGAUGAAGUCCCUUCGGGAUGUAAACUUCAAUAGUACGCCAGGAACCAAUCCUGGCUAAUACUCAGGAAAGUUGACCAGCGUACGAAAGAGGCGGCUAACUCCGUGCCAGCAGCCGCGGUAAUACGGAGGCAUCGAGCGUUGUUCGGAAUCACUGGGCUUAAAGCGCGUGUAGGCGGAACGGUAAGUACUUUGUGAAAUCCCCGGCUUCAAUCCGGGAACUGCUUGGUAUACUGCCGUUCUUGAGGGAGGUAGGGGUCACUGGAA